AGGAAAAGAAACCAACAGGGAUUGCCCCAGUAACGGCGAGUGAAGCGGCAACAGCUCAAAUUUGAAAUCUGGCCCCCAGGGCCCGAGUUGUAAUUUGCAGAGGAUGCUUUUGGCGCGGUGCCUUCCGAGUUCCCUGGAACGGGACGCCAUAGAGGGUGAGAGCCCCGUCUGGUCGGACGCCUAGCCUGUGUAAAGCUCCUUCGACGAGUCGAGUAGUUUGGGAAUGCUGCUCUAAAUGGGAGGUAUAUGUCUUCUAAAGCUAAAUACCGGCCAGAGACCGAUAGCGCACAAGUAGAGUGAUCGAAAGAUGAAAAGCACUUUGAAAAGAGGGUUAAAUAGUACGUGAAAUUGUUGAAAGGGAAGCGCUUGUGACCAGACUUGGGCCCGGUGGAUCAUCCAGCGUUCUCGCUGGUGCACUCCGCCGGGUUCAGGCCAGCAUCAGUUCGCCGCGGGGGAAAAAGGCUUCGGGAACGUGGCUCCUACGGGAGUGUUAUAGCCCGUUGCAUAAUACCCUGGGGCGGACUGAGGUUCGCGCUCCGCAAGGAUGCUGGCGUAAUGGUCUCA
rnacentral:rRNA from 1 species